rnacentral:rRNA from 1 species
AUGCUGGCACACGAGGUUUUCUCUCAGCUCCUUCUCACUGAGCAACGGGUCGAGACUCGCCGCACCAGGGGCACUGGCUCCCUCUCGGCCAACGCCGCCACCAAGGGUGGCCGCUCUUCUUCAUCACCCCGGUCUCCCUUGGGGCUGCCACCGUCGCCCGCCUCGGCCCCCCCACCUACUGCGACCUUACCGGGGGCUGGCGGUCCACGUGUGUGUCAGCUUUGUGGCCGCGAUGGGCACUGGGCCUCCAAGUGUUAUAAGCGCUUCCAGCGAAGCUUCCUUGGUCUUGGCAAUGACGGCAAAGAUACACGCAACAAUGCCCGUCAGGUCGCCAUGGCUGAUCGUCCCGUGCCGCAGAAGCAACAGGGACACACUCAGUCCUACUCCAUCGAUCCACACUGGUACAUGGACUCUGGGGCGACCGAGCAUCUGACCAGCGAGAUGGGGAAGCUUCACACUCGUGAACCCUAUCAUGGCUCCGACAAGAUCCACACCGCCAAUGGAGCAGGUAUGCACAUCUCUCAUAUUGGCCAAGCAUCUCUUCUCACUAGACAUGCCAAUAGGAGUCUUCAGCUUCGCAAUGUUCUUCGAGUUUCAUCUGUGACCCGUAAUCUUCUUUCAGUUCCUAAACUCACACGUGAUAAUAAUGUGCUUUGUGAAUUUCACCCUUUUGAUCUUUUUAUUAAGGAUCGGGGCACGAGGGACAUUCUUCUUAGUGGGCGGUUGUGCCAGGGCCUCUACCGUCUGGAGCAUCCUGGUGUCGCUCGUGUUUUCAGUGGAGUUCGGGUCUCUCCGUCACAGUGGCAUGCUCGUCUUGGUCACCCGGCCACACCUAUUGUCCGUCAUAUUUUGCGUCGUCAUGAGCUU